AGCGGAGGAAAAGAAACUAACAAGGAUUCCCCUAGUAACGGCGAGUGAAGUGGGAAAAGCUCAACUUUGAAAUCUGGUACUUUCAGUAUCCGAAUUGUAGUCUCAAGAAGUGUUUUCUGUGCCGGUCCAUGUAUGAGUCUGUUGGAACACAGCGUCAUAGAGGGUGACAACCCCGUUCAUGACAUGGAUCCCGGUGCUUUGUGAUACACUCUCGAAGAGUCGAGUUGUUUGGGAAUGCAGCUCAAAUUGGGUGGUAAAUUCCAUCUAAAGCUAAAUAUUGGCGAGAGACCGAUAGCAAACAAGUACCGUGAGGGAAAGAUGAAAAGCACUUUGGAAAGAGAGUUAACAGUACGUGAAAUUGUUGAAAGGGAAACGAUUGAAGUCAGACGUGCGUGAUGCGGUUCAGCUCUAGUUCGCUAGAGUGUACUCCGUAUCUUUGCAGGCCAGCAUCGGUUUUGUUAGUCGGAUAAAGGUUUGAGAAAUGUGGCAUCUUCGGAUGUGUUAUAGUCUCAGACUGAAUACGAUUGAUGGGACCGAGGAACGCAGCGCGCCGCAAGGCAAAGGUUCCGACCUUUUCGCGCUUAGGAUGCUGGUGAAAUGGCUUUAAACGACCCGUCUUGA
rnacentral:rRNA from 1 species